rnacentral:rRNA from 1 species
AGUGAACGCUGGCGGUAGGCCUAACACAUGCAAGUCGAACGGCAGCACAGUAAGAGCUUGCCCUUACGGGUGGCGAGUGGCGGACGGGUGAGGAAUACAUCGGAAUCUACUUUUUCGUGGGGGAUAACGUAGGGAAACUUACGCUAAUACCGCAUACGACCUACGGGUGAAAGCAGGGGAUCUUCGGACCUUGCGCGAUUGAAUGAGCUGAUGUCGGAUUAGCUAGUUGGCGGGGUAAAGGCCCACCAAGGCGACGAUCCGUAGCUGGUCUGAGAGGAUGAUCAGCCACACUGGAACUGAGACACGGUCCAGACUCCUACGGGAGGCAGCAGUGGGGAAUAUUGGACAAUGGGCGCAAGCCUGAUCCAGCCAUACCGCGUGAGUGAAGAAGGCCUUCGGGUUGUAAAGCCCUUUUGUUGGGAAAGAAAAGCAGCAGGUUAAUACCCCGCUGUUCUGACGGUACCCAAAGAAUAAGCACCGGCUAACUUCGUG